CUAUCCUCCCCCUAUCGCCGUGUUCAACCCAUCCUUCCCCUACGCCGUGGGCAACCCAUCCUUCCCCUAUCGCAGAGUGUGCAAAGCCCUCACCCAGCGCCGUGUGUGCAAGCCACCACCCGCGUGAACUCCACACCACAACUGCAGCCGAACUCCCUGCUACACCAUUUCCUUCUCGCUCAGCUGCGCCUCAGCCCCUUCUGCCACUGCAUUCACUCUAUGCCCUCAACCAUCUUUCACCACCAUAACCACCCACCUGCUAUUCACGUAGCCUUUCCAUCUGCUCUUCUCCCUGCUAUCUCCCACUUUCUCUCCCUAGAAAAAACUAACAACUUUUUCUUCCUCUGUUCUUUGUUGCUCUCUUAUCCUCUCUUCCCAAUCACAGGCUAUCCACAAACGUCCCAGCCUGCUGUAGCACCACCUCUCUCUUUCAACACCUCCGCCUCUCUCUCUCUCAACUGCAGCAGUUAGUUGCAGCCACCAUCUUUCACCUCUCAACAGCAGCUGCCACACUACCUUCUCCCUGUCCUCUGCCCAGCAGCCGACCUCCCUCUCUUCCCUCGCUGCCCCUUCUCUUCCACCUCAUACUCUGCCUCUCAAAUCGCAGCCACGACCUCCAACCUAAUGCAACCACUACAGCAGCCAUCACCUUGUCCUCUUCUUUCGUCAAUCACCACUGCAGCCACUUCCGCCAUUUCUACCAUCACCUGCAAACCACCUCCGCCUAUCUUCUCCCGCACCAUCCCUCUUCUUUGCAACCUAGCUCAGCCACCUUGCAGCUUCAACCGUCAACCACUCGUGCACUUUCUUCCUCUUCCUCCAAUGUCGCCCUGCUCUUAGCAAUCUUCCCCUCUCUGCCCUGUCACCGCCCCUUUCUCUCUGUUGCACCACCAUUUCCACCACCUCAUAGCGACCUCCGCCAUCUCGUUGAUGCCCCUUUCACUACCUGCUGCCCUCUCCACGACCUGGUUCAUCCACCUCUCCUGCCAUUUCUGUUCUCUCUCCACCACUCUGCUGCUGCCUUUCAAUCCAUCUUCACACUUUGCUGCCGGAAACUAGCCCUCUGUCACCAUUUCCAUCCCCUCUCGCUCUACUCUUCCGUCCUCCUCUCUGCAACUUCCCACUCUCCGCUCUGCUCUCUGCAACUGCCUACACUCUCUUUCUAAAAACCCACAAGAUGGAAACCCACAAACGAAACCCAUUUUCCAUUUUUCAUUUUUUUUUUCUUUUCGUUUAGCUUUUUCGGUAGUUUCGUUUCACUUGCUUUCUUCACUCCAUUUCGUUCAACUCAUCAAACCAACACAAGUUCUCUCUCUCUAAACUAAUCUACCCUUUUAUUUUAUCAAAACUUUAUACUCUUUUACUCAUAUAAUGCCCAAUAGCCCAGUAAUAAAAACCUCCUUCUCCCUUGAUCAAUUAAAACCUUUUUUUUUAUUAUAAUUUUAUUCUAAUUAACCUCAUCCAAUUAUAUUAUCUUAGCCUAUCUUCACCUGAUUUCUUUUACUCCAUUCAUUUCAUCCUAUUCUUCCCAAUCUUAUUUUAUUUUAUUUACUUUAUUGAUUAUCUUAUCUUAUCUUUUUCCAUUUUAAUUAUUUAUUUUACUUUAUUUCAUUUACCUCUUUUAUUUUAUUUACCCCAGUUUAUUUUAUUUUAUUUUCCUUUACUACAUUCCUUUACUUAUUUUAUUUUUCCAUUUUCCAAUUUUAUUUUAUUUUUAAUUCAUUUAUCUCAUUGUCAUUUCAACUCAUAUUUCAUCAUCAUUUUUUCAUCGUCGCUUUUAUUUCACUUUCGUCUCUCUUGGAAGACUUAGUCAGAGUUGAGCUAGUUUCACUUCCUCUCUUUCUCUCCAUCGCUUGUUUGACCAGAGGGCAGGCUGAGCCUUGUACUGUCAUGUUGGUUAUGUCAUCUAGCCGUAAUGCCGUUGUGUCGGUCUGAGUUACCGUGCCCGUCUUACUGCCAUAACAGGCUAGCCAUUGUGUCAGGCUUGUCGAUGUUGGUUCUGUCGUCUAAUAGUAAUGUCGUUAUGCCGGUUUAAGUUACCGUGCCCGUCUUGCUACCCUGUCGGGUCAAUCACUUUCUGAUCUAGCAACUGUAUCAGUUUAGCCGUUUGAUCAAUUCACCCUGUAACAAGGUGGGGACCUAUGGCCCACUUGUCUGUACUUUUAAUUGUGUGUGUGUUUGCAGGAAAGGAGAAACAGGUCAAGGGAGGCGAUUUCAAACCGGCCACAGGCCAAGGGGGCUUUCCAACAUGAUCUAAGAGGGCACCUACGCGAGCCAGCCCGAGUGUGUCACGGACCCAUGAGAGGUAUGUCCCGCCUCACGACCCCAAUUCCUCUCUAAUUGGUUAGUACUCUUACCCACGUCUUCUUUACGUGGUUCCUGAGAGAGCGAUCCAGGUCCCGGGUCCAUCUCGAACCAGAAAACCAAGCCAUCAAGUCAACCCGACCCGGAGGGCGAGAGCGAGGCACCUAACCAGGACCUUCAUAAGUUGAGGAUCUUCUUUUUGCGCCACUCUGAUCUGUUGAAAGAGUUGGGGUUCUACCCUCAUACACGAAAUCAUUCUGACCCCAUCAUUAAGGGUAGAGUUGGGUGUCAUUUCACCGCAUCUUCAAGCAAUCGCAUCUCUCGAACCAUUAGGCAUGCUACUGAGACCACAGCUUUUCGGCUUAGGGCAUCGGCUACUACGUUAGUCUUGCCUGGAUGGUAAUCAAUUGUACAAACGUAAUCAUUCAAUAAGUCCAUCCAUCUUCUGUGCCUCAUAUUCAACUCCUUUUGGGAAAAUAGGUACUUGAGGCUCUUGUGAUCAAUGAACACUUUAAUUGAGCCCCAUAGAGGUAAUGUCUCCAGAUCUUCAAUGCAAACACUACGACCGCAAGCUCUAAGUCAAGAGUUGGAUAUUUUUUCUCAUACGGCUUCAACUGUCUGGAGGCAUAAGCAAUGACCUUACCUCUCUGCAUGAGUACAUAUCCAAGCUCUUUUUGGGAUGCAUCGGUAUAAACCACAAAGUCCUCAUUUCCUUCGGGCAAGGUCAGUAUUGGGGUUGUGGUUAGUCUCUUUUUAAGUUAUUGAAAGCCUCUCUCACAGUCCUCUAACCACACCAAUCUCACAUUCUUUUGGGUCAGCCGAGUAAGGGGAAGCUUUAUCCUUGAGAAUCCCUCUACAAAGCGCUGGUAGUAUCUGAGUAACCCUAGAAAACUACCAAUUUCGGUUACAUAUGUUGGUCUUUCCUAUUUAAGUAUAGCUUCAAUCUUAGAGGGGUCGACCGUAAACAAGUCCUUAGAAAUGAUGUGACCCAGGAAGGCUACGCUAGUGAGCCAAAAUUCACUCUUGCUUAAUUUAGCAUACAAUCUCUUCGACUUCAAAGUUUGCAAGACAAUUCUCAGAUGCUACUCAUGUAGCUUCCAACUUUUCGAAUACACUAAAAUAUCAUCAAUAAAGACUACAACAAAAUCAUGUCUGAAUACUCUAUUCAUCAAAUCCAUGAACACAGCAGGGGCAUUGGUUAACCCGAAUGGCAUCACAAGGAACUCAUAAUGGCCGUAUCGAGUUCUGAAAGCAGACUUUGGGAUGUCUUCCUCCUUGACCCGCAGUUCGUGAUAACUUGAUCGGAGGUCAAUCUUUGAAAACACCUGGGCCCCUUGGAGUUGGUCAAAAAGGUCAUCGAUUCUAGGCAGGGGAUACUUAUUCUUCACUGUUACUUGGUUCAACUGCCUAUAGUCAAUACACAACCUCAGACAUCCAUUCUUCUUCUUCACAAACAGGGCUGGUGCACCCCAGGGUGACACAUUAGGUCAGAUGAAUCCCUUAUCCAAUAAUUCUUGCAAUUGUUCUUUCAACUCCCUCAACUCUCCUGGAGCCAUUCUAUACGGAGCUUUAGAAAUGGAAGCAGUGUCGGAGACUACAUCUAUCUCAAAUUCAAUUUCCCUUACUGAAGGCAGGGAUGGAAACUCUUCUGGGAACACCUCGGGGUACUCUCUUACUAAUGGUGUCCCUUGAAGCUGGGACUGAACUUCCCGAUUCUCUACUACAUAGGCUAAAUACCCUUCACACUUCUUAGUCAGGAUGCGAGAGGUCCAGAGGGCAGAGAUAAGGUGCAAAGGGGAAGUAUCCCUAGUUCCCUCAAAGUGUAGAUCAGUUUGGUCAUGACGUCUAAAAGUUACCAUCAUUUCAUGGCAGUAGACGGUGGCAUGGUGUGUAUACAACCAAUCCAUGCCCAAAAUAACAUCAAGAUCCUGAAUACCUAGGAUGAUCAAGUACACAAGUAGGUCACACCCAUCAAUUGUAAUCCCACACUACUUAUACACUCUAUCAGUUUCCAUAGAAUCCCCCAUAUGUGUGCAUAGUACUAGAGUAAAAUCAAGACAUGCGAGCUCAACAUUUAGAUAGCAAGCAAAAUGGGGUGCAACAAAAGAGUGAGAGGAACCAGGGUCAAUCAAAAGCUUUAGCUUUAACGCCACAAAUAGAAAGUGUACCUCUGAUCACCGAGGUAGACGCCUUAGCUUCUUGCUUGGUGAGGGCAAAUACUCGUCCUUGCAUCUUUCAUGGGUCCUCUGUCUUCAUCAUAGGGAAAUCCUUAACCCAGUGGCGGGGCUUGCCGCACCUGAGGCACACGUUCCACUUCCUAUAGCAUUCGGCAGUAGUGUGGUUGUCCUUCCCGUAAUGAGAGUAGAUUGGGCAUCGAUCAUUCUCCAUGUUGUCCAGGAAAUUCUUCUGGACCCUCUGGUUACGCUGGUAAGGCCUUCUUCUAACAUCCCUCCUUGGAAAUUGUCGGGGCUUCUUCCCAAAGUUUCCUGAUGGAACGGUCUUCAUCCUUCCUUUCUUGAUCUGUGGUCCUCGCAGUCUCUUUCAAUCUUUAGGGCGAGGUCUAUCAAUGGGGCGUACGCCUUCUUCAGAUUGGCCGACAGUACUCUUCCUCUGAUAUCCGGUCAAAGGCCCCUAUCAAAUUUAGCCGCCUUUCGCGCCUCGGUGUUUAUAAUGUAGGGUGUGUACCUAGGCAAUUCCGCAAAUUUAGCAGCAGAUUGCUCAACUGUCAUACUUCCUUGAUAGAGUUCAAUAAAAUCCACUUCCUUCCUCUCCUUGACGGAGUCUGGGAAGUACUUCUUGUCAAACGCCAUCAGAAAGUUUUCCCAUGUGGUCUCGGUUCUUGACUCCCUCCAAGAUUGCUUACCCAAGGUCCACCAAUGUUCAGCUUCUCCUUCCAACAUGAAGGCUCCUAAUAUGACUUUCUGCUCAUCCGAGCAGUACAACACUUCUAAGAUCUUUUCUAUCUAUCUCUUCCAGCUUUCGGCCUUUUUUACUCCUCUUUGCCCGAAAAAGGUUGGGGGCACUAGUCGUCUAAAUCUUUCUAUUAGGCCAUUGUCAUUUUGCUCUGGGGUAGGGAUAGGCUUGGCUGGCAUCAACUUCUUCAUCAUUUGGGUCAUUGCCCUUAGAAUCCUAUAAAAUUCACCGAGCAUCUUGGUGUUCUCAUUGCUGGAACUCGUAUUGUUGGUACGAGCCCUCGACAUCUUCAACCUAGCACAGGAGAACUUAGCCACUAAUCUAUCUUAAAACUAUUCUAAGGGUUCUUCUAAAACUCACUAGGCCAAGAAUUCUAUCUUGACUGCUCUGAUACCAUAACUGUCACAACCCCGCCCCCCUUAUUCCGUACUCGACAGAGGUCACCGAGCGUGGGUUCAUGAUCCCAAGGUAGCAUAUACCACUCAGGUCGGAGUGAACUCAACGCUUUACUAUCGGUGAUCAAAGCAAACCAUGAAAAGAACUAAAGCAGUAAUUCUAAGUACAUAAAAAUAUUUAACAUUUGAAGAAUCCAUACAUCAAUAAAAGGGCACUACAUAAAAUUUUUCUAAAACUAUUACAUCUGAGUCUGGGGCAUUAGGGCCCAAUAUUACAUCCCCCAAAAUUUCAACAAAAAUUCGGACUACACUGCCCAGCUACAUACAAGAUCUGAGUUCCUUCUCAAGUGAAUGAGACUCCAACUCCUAACUGCAAAACAUGAGCUUCUGGUCCUCGACCUGGCACUAUCAAUAGGGGAGAUACAGAGGGAUGAGAUAUAAAGCCCAGUAAGUAGGUCUAAGUGCUAAGCAUCGUUAAUGAGUCUAUUCAUGCAUCAUAAGCAGUUCUUCCAAUAAUAAAAAGUCAUGAGGCAACAGUCAUGGAAAUCAGAGAUCAGAUAAAUGCAUCAAUUACAGGCAACAUAUUCAAAUGACAAUUAUCAUUAAAUCAUUACAAUCAUUAGCAUUCACAUUCACUUUUCAAAUAUUACCCACUCACUAACCUACUCUUAAAGUAGAAGCCCUAUCCAGUGGGCUAAGCUAAUCCCAUUUCUUAGGACCUCUACCAUCUCUCAGGAGGGAGGGCAAUGACAAGUGGGUGAAUACACUUCAUAAUGCCCUCAUACUCACACAUAUAAUCCCCAAUAUGCAUUGGGGUUUUCGAUAGGUACUUACCUUGCAAGGCAUCAGUCACUAGUCUCAUCUCAUGAAUUUUGGGGGGUACAACCCUCCCAUUUCACUUUACUCUAACUGCAUUCUAUCAUUCAGCAAGUUGGGGAACAUGGCCGGCAUCACUUUUCUCAAUAUAACGCUCCGCACUACUGAUGGGUGUCCCAUCGUGUAGCGGGCAAUAUCAGUAAAACAGUAUCCACUACCGAUAGGUGUCCAUCGCGUAGUGGCCAGUAUCACAGUAUCAGAACAAAACAGUACCCCACUACCAAUGGGUGCCCCAUUACGUAGUGGUCAUUAUCACAACGUCGUAACAUGCUCAAGCAUUAAGUUCAUUAUGCUAAAUUAGUGCCUUAUGAUAGAGAAUUCAAUUUUCAUCAUGCAAAGUUUGAGUCUUACUUAGAGCUAUCCAGCAGUCACAUAACACGAUGUUACUAGGCAUAACACAUCCAUUAUAUGAGAGCUAUCACAUGGUAUUUACGCUUAAUAAUCCACAUUAAUAUUACGGCACUUAUCAUGUAAUAUUUGUCAUAAAACUAUUACAUUAGUAUUGCACUUACCAAAUCGCACAGAAUGUAUAAUUGCAUAGCAUCAUUCACCUAAUAUUAUAGCAUUUAGAAUUCAUCACGUGAAAACUAUCACUUCACAAAGAUCACACUUCACCACUUGAGUUGCUCAGUGAGUGAUCCAAAAAAGGUAACAUGAUACAGACAUAGAACUAAAUUUUAGUGACGUGUAACAGUAAUGUAUCCUUUUUCUUGGAGGCGUAACUCCUAAUCUAGGGAGAAUUUCAAAAUAGUUCAAACAUGCAACUUCAAGAUUACACAUGGAUAUUUAAAAUGGCGGUGGUUUGAAGAUAUUUUGACGACGUUUGAUAGGCCAAAAGCUUUGCAGCAAGUGAGUGACAGUUGUUGGAAUUCCCUGCAACUGCCAACAAUGACAUACCCUCAUAUUUUGGGGCAUAUCUCUCAACCUAUGGGGAAUUUCAAAAUGCUUCAAACAUACAACUUUAAACUCAUUCAUGGAUCUUCCAAAGGGAGGUGGUUUGAAGAAGUUUAGGCAUCAUUUGAUUGGCCAAAGGCUCGACAUAAACGUGUAACAGUUGCUGGAAAUUACAGCAACUGUGAACAGCGAUAUACCCGAACAUUUUGGGACAUACCUCUUCAUCCAUACAAAAUUUUAACAUGGUGUAAAUAGAAAACUUAGAGUAGACACACAUAUCUUUCAUUUAAGACUUAUUUGAGCCCAUUUGGACUCUAUUUGACCAAAUAAGUUCGAUACAAAAGACCUCACAGUGCUUGAAAAUUUCCCCUUUUUCAAGUUUUAAAAUGAUUUCAAAUAAAACUCCUCACUUCACACAUCCAAGUAAAUUGCAGUGCAAAACCUCACUCAUGUCAAGUUUUUUUAUAAGUGAGCUACUUCAUUAGCUUCUACAACUAACAGUUUCAUUUAUGAUACUCAAUCAAUCAUUCAAUCUCAUUCUAAUUCCAUUACAUCCAUACUUUCCAUCAUAUCAUUCUACUCAUUUUGAUUUCUUAAAAUCUAUGGCUACCAAUUGCAAAUGAUGCAUGAACACCAAAUCCACUUACCUGAUGCUCACGAUGUCUUCAAACGUCCCACUCAUGGGCCUCUUCAAGCUCCAAGUAGGGGCUUCUUCAAGGGCAGCAGUCCACUCUCACUUUGCUUCUUAGCCAGAGAGAGAGAGUAUGAGACAAGUGAGGGAAAUAACGUUGAAAGGAUAAAGGGAGAGCCUUAAGUACCCACGGAUGGUAAGAUUCAUUGUGGCUAAUGGGUAGUGAAAGUCACUGUGGCUGACAGUGGGCGGCGUUGACUUGUACGAUACCAACAAGUGCGGUGCUAGCAGUAGUCACAUCUUCUCCUUGCACUCGCGGCAGUGAUACGCGCGGUGCUACCCAUUCUUCACCUUCACGCACAACGUUACCCCUCAAAUUCACAAGCGACGAUACGUCCAUUUCACGCGUGGCGUUACUCCUUACACGCGCGGCGUUACUCCUUACGCGCACGACGUUACUCUUUACGUGUGCGGCGAUACCUUCAUUUCACAUGUGGUGUUACUCCUUAUGCACAUGGUGAUACCUCCAUUUCACGCACAACGUUACUCCUUACGCGUGAGGUGAUGGUCUUUUACACACGGCGUUGCCUCUUGCAUGCGCGGUGGUGUGUAAACGGCGCUACUCAAGUUCACCCACCGUGUUGGUUCUCCUUCUCUUUCUUUCCACUGACGGCGCUAGGCCCCUUUUUACAUAGACGGCGCUAGCCCCCCACCCCCCGCCCCCCUCCUCCCUUCUACACAAGAUUCUCUUGUCGUGCGCAUCUCAUGGCUGAGAAAAUUUGUAGUCCUUACAUUAAAUCUCUCGAUUGUUCUUGAGAUUAUCUUUCUGGUUGCAGUAUUGCAGUGGGAAUGAAAGUAUUGAUCGAUAAUGUUGUUCGAUUGGGAGAGCAGGUUUAGAAGGGAAGAUCGGUGAAGCUUUUUUUUUUACCAAUGUUUAAAGAGAGGUAUAUCUCUUAUAACCCAAAAUUGUACUCUUCAUUGUGAUAGUGGAUUUCGACUUGCCGAGGCCGUGGAUGUAGCCUUAUGAGGUGAACCAAAUAAAUUGUAUGUUGUUGUGGUGUGAUUUUUAUGUUUGCUUUAUUUCUUGCACUCGAUUUAUAAUUGUAUUUGUCAACUUUAUAUUUAGCCAAUUGUGCACACGAUCUUAGGUGGGAUUUCGGUAAUUGGGAUUCUCGAUUCUACAAGAUAGGGGUUCUUGGGAAGGGAUCUCCAAGAUAGAGAUUGGGCUCAUUGUUGGGAUGUGAUGCAAAUAGCACCUCCUAUAGUAUUUCUCUUUUGUUAAAAGGGUGUUUUUUUCCUAGAAAAUGGGCCUUUUAUGGAGACCUAUAAAAGACAUUUUUAGACAAAGAGCAUAAGGAAAGAAGAGAAAAGAGAAAAAAAGUAUAGAGAAGCUUUGGAAGGUAGAGAUUGGGGGCUUCUUAUGUAAACCCUUACAUUUUUGUCACAGAAAAUGUUAGUCGAUGGAGACCCAGCAAGGAUUUGAUUGAUGGUGGUUUUAUGGUAGGAAAUUUCUAUUGAGCUUUCUUUCCAUGCAUGAGGUAAUCUCUACAAACCCUAAUCUGGUAAAUUUCUUCCUUAAUAGUGAAUGCAUCCUUGCCCUCUUGUCGGUGGACGUAGACCAUUUUGGGUGAACCACGUUAAUCCAUGUGUCUUCAAUUUUGUACUUGUGUUGUGGUUAUCGUGAUUUCUCAUAUUACUUGUUUCUUGAUUCUAUAAUUUUCUCGAAUAUAUUGUAAGUACAUUAUUGUUCUUGGGAGAUUUUAUUGAGGUUGUUGGAUUCAUUGUUGUGGGGUGGGUGCUCACCACAUCAACACGAAUUUGUGUUAACCCAAUUUGUCAACAAGGGGCAAUCGAGAUAUCUUUGGUUGCCAACAUAAAAAAUCAUUCAACUGUUCAUGACUCUAUACAAAAUCAAAACAUCCCAAAUAAAUGGGGUCAAAAGCAUCAAAUCUCUCCUCUAUGAAGUUCAGGUAAUGCUCAGAAUGGCUAGUGAACUGCUUCUUUCAGACCUCUAAGGCUUGAGCCUGAAUGCAGUUACCUGCAAUAUGUUCCACAAGAGUGGUACAACCACUAGAAGGUUACCCCAGAGGAAGAGCUCUAACUUUCAUCCAUUCCCUUGAUAGAUGGAGAAAUAGAAGCCUAUAUAGCUCAAGAGGACUCGCAAGGGUCUCACUGAGCCCAAUCCCAUUGUGUAAACACUAAGAAACAUCUAUCUGAAUUCACUUUUCCGCUGAUGGACAUUUUUUUUUUUUGUGAGUCAGUGGGGAGAGGUCUAACCUUUGUAAGAAUUGAGCCUAGGACGUAGCGUUGCAAAUCAUCAAGCAAUAACCAAUUAAAAAACAAUGGGACUUCCUCUUUGUGAACUAUACACUUAGAUAAAGGCAUUUAGUAAUAGAAUGCUCCAAGGAAAGUGCUUCCCUAGGGAUAGGGGAUUCAUUUUCACAAGGGCAUGACGAUGAAUAUCCUUUUUUUUUUACAAAUAUUCUUUUCUUUAUUUAUAAAAUUUACUCAAAAGAAAUUACAUCAGAGGAGAGAGUUAGAGAAGACAAAGAGGCCCCCCUUUCAGCCUGAAAGUUAGCCAAAGAAUUUGCCUCGCGAAAGACAUGGCAAAAAGAAAUUGAAAGUGGAGCCACCAGAUCCAUAAUCUGCAACCAGUUAGACCUUAGUUCCCAUGGAAUACGCUGCUCCUUCUUACACUAAUUAAUUGCGUUCAUUGAAUCUCCUUCAAUAAUGCAGUUAUUCCCGAUGUUUUUAGAGAUAAAAUUUUUAACCCUUUGCAACAAAGCCAAUAAUUCAGAUCGAUUAGCCAUAGUUAUACCAAUAGGGUCAAUAUAUGAGAAGAUGACCUCUCCAAAACAGUCUCGCACUAUACCUCCAAUUCCUGCUAAACUUGGAUUGCCCAAAGAGCUCCCAUCAAAAUUUAACUUAAAUCCCCCACUCUCUGGUGCCACCCAAAUACUCUUUGGUCUUAUCUUUACUCUACCCAUCAAAAAACAAAUUUGACAAAUUCAACAGAACAUCUGGUUGUGAAAUCCCCCAACCCUCCUUAGUAAUUGAGAGCCAAGACCAAAUAGAUAGUUUGACUUUACUCAGCAGUCUAUCAAAAGAUAAACUCUCUCCUUCAAAAGUCCGUCUAUUUCUUUCUUUCCAUAGUUCCCAUUGAGUAGCCUCUCUUGCUAUCUGCCACACGAAGAUACCUCCGGAAGGUAAAUGAUUAAAGGCUAACUGUGACACUAAACCCAUCACAGAUUGGGGCAGUGAAGCAUGAACCCCAAGUAACCCAAAUAACCAAUACCAAAUUCUUGAGGCAAUAUGGCAAUGGAUGAGAAGAUGCUCUCUAGAUUCCUCAUCCGCUUUACACAUCAAACAUAUGUUAGGUAAAAUUUUACCCCUCUUAAUCAAAUUUUCCACCGUCAGAAUCUUAUUUUGGAUAGCUAACCACAAAAACACCAGCACCUUAUGGGGAAUAGGCCAUUUCCACACUUUGGCUGUGGCAGGUAAAGACCAUCUCCAUCUAAUGUAAAAAAAAGCAUAUAACAAGACUUGACCGAAAUACCCCAUCGCAUUCAACUUCCCAAAUCACUUCAUCUAUUGCCCCUUGAGAAAUAUAAACCGAAUCCAAGAUACCCAUCAAAUCGUUCCAUUGAAGAUAAAUAUUUUCACUUAGCUUAUUAUAUGGGAAAUUAAUACUCCAAGCAGCACGAUUACCUCUCACUUCAACCAUAUCAGAAACCUUAGCAUUAGGUUGUGAAACUUUAGCAAAAAGUUCCGGAUAAGUAAGCUUCAAAGGGGCAUCACCUAUCCACUUAUGAUACAAAAAAGAGAUGUUGUCACCACAACCAACAUUCCAAUGAAAAUAACUAGCAAGCAUUGGCCUACAUCUGUAAAUAGCCGUCCACAGAGAAGACAUCUCUCUAUUUCUACUCCAUCCUAACCACAUUCCCUGCCUAUCCAAACCAUAUUUCGAAGAAAAAACCUGAAACCAAAGCUGAUCUGUAUAUUGAAAACUUCUCCACUACCACUUACAAAGAAACCACCUUCACUCUUAGGGACAUAAACACGAUCCCACCUAAGUAAGUGAUACUUCCCAAAAGACCCCUAUAGAAAAUUAGGCAUCAUUCUUUCAAUUUUCUUUAUCACUAUAUAGGAUGCAGAAACAUAUACACUCACAGCUAAAAGUGAUGCUAAUAUAGUGGCAAUGCGGGCAAAAAUAAAUUCCUAGGCUAUCAAGCUCACAACAUCCGCCAUCCAAUUAAAUGUCCUAACUCCUAAACCAUAAGUUGGCUAGCAUGAAGCCUCCACCACUUUUAGUGCAGGUUGUGCAUGACACAAAUCAUACUAGUUGUACACCUGAUGAGAUGUAAGCCAUGAUAAUGAAAAGACUCACGAAUCUUCAUAUACUUAGGCAUGAUCUCCUGAGAUUUAGCAUAAUUCCUAUCUGGCUUAGAUCGAUGAGGUAUCUUAGCCAUAAGGAUAUCAACCUCAUGCUUUUGAAAAAUCCAAUAAACAUAUUCCCCAUAAAGAGCAUAUCACAGUUUUUGUUACUGUUUGUACUAAUACCGCUUUUGAUGAGAAAAUUUGUUAGGUCCCUUAUUGUGGCUUUCUUGGUAUGCAAGGCUUCAAUUGAACUCAAUGGCUUCUUGGGAACAAAUGGAAGAAACUUUUGUACUCGAUGGAGACAAUUAUGCGCACUCCAAAUCUGCCUAAGCAAGAUGAAUGCGAAGAAUACCUUGAACUUAGCCAUCGAAAAUCGUACUACUUUCCGAUAGUUGCUAGAAUGAACAAUCGUGAUUGAAGGUAUAUUGAAUAGAAAAAUCUUACUAGCAAGUCUCAUGUUAUAAAUCUAGACAACAGUAAAGCAUAGGGCUACAAAGCCACCCCAUAAAAAUUAACUAUGGUGACAACUGACAUUUGAGGGUUCAACAAGAGCAGGUCUAAUGGUUCCACAAAGCCUCAGCCUAAAAGCCAACCGAAGAUUUUGGACGUUACAAAGAGCCAUAGCAUGAUAAAAAGGAAAGAACAAGUGCAUAAGGUACAACUUACAAAAUGCCCCACCUCCACAAGAGGCAUGGAAAUAGGCCAAUUUUGAAGGAACGAUUCUUAGAAAAACACCCUUUUGAAGAUAGAUAUUUUGGCCAGGUUUUCAAACUUAUAGAAUACAUACUUCUUCAACUCCCUAGAUAUUAGGAGCUCCCGGAAGGAACAAAGGUGGAUAAAAGAAGAUACUGCCAAGAUCAAUGCUCAUAGGUCUCACAAUUUUCCCUCUCUUCUUGUUGUGCUAGUGAAGAUUUACCAUGGGUUGUGUUCUUCAGGCAAGUUGGUUUCAAUCAACUCGUCGACUAUGGCAUGUACACCCAACCUCAAGAUUUCAAGGUGACAAUAUAAUAUCCAUGACCUCAGUAGGAGGAUCAUAGUAGUCCUCUUCAUCCUUGAGAUAAUUGGUGCUUACCAUGUAGCCAUUUGCUUUAUGUUGUUGGCGAGUCCACGACAGUGUUAUCCCUUGCUACUAGAUUCCUUUAACUAGAUGGAUAUUCUUUUUAGUUACGAAAAUGACUUAGGUUUCAUCCAAAGUGGUAUUUUCUACUUUAGAUCCCGCUUUGGUCGAAGAAUUCUAGGUGAAAGGCUUUUUAUCUGAGAACAAAGCUCUUUUUCUCUCAUCGUACACAUACGUAAAACAUUAUUGGAGCGUGGAAAGUAUUAUUACAAUAUCAUGGAGCCAAAUCCUUCCUAAUAAUAUGUUGUAAGAAGUGUUGGCAUCUAUGGUGUAAAAAGGAGCAGUUUGUUUUUAGAUCAUCAACUACAAAUCUAAGGUGAAUUGUGCCUGAGGCCUCUUUGUGAUCUCGUUGAAUCUUACAUCACUAAGUUGAAUGGCUUAAGAUCAUGAGAUAUCAAUCAUAGUAGUUGCAAAAUUUGCAAAUGAAGAAGGUUGACUGUAGAGCCACAGUCCAAUAUUUCCUUGGUAGUUUGUAAGCUGUUGAGACUACCAGUGAUGUAUGGGGCAAUUAUGGAACUGGAUUAUUAACUGCAAGCCUACUAGUGAAAAUGAUGAGUAUACAAGAGGGGGAGCGGUCUUUCUAUCUUUAUUUGGUCCUGAUAUAUCUAAGGGUCUUUCAGAGCUUUGAUUAAUGCAUAGCUCAUUUUUCGUUAUAGCAUAAGAGCAUCAUAAACAUUGAGGCGGGUUGGAAUCUUUUUGAGAUCAGUAACUAUGGCGUUUUUUGACAAUGCAAUGGUCAACAAUUGAUGGAAGCUUCUAGUUGUUCCAUGUCGUGAUUAGACCAUUCCGAGAACCCCCAUCUUCUAGCUACAUAAAUUGGGUAAGCAUAGCAUCACACUGAUCUUUAUUCUGUUUGAGAUCCACAGUCUUCCUUUACGAUCUCAAGUGGAUAGGGUUCGCACUAACUAUUUUUAAAGCUUGAGUGUAUGAAUCAUAUUACAUUCCACUUGUGGAUCAUGAACCAAUGUAGUGAUUGGUGACCUCAGGAUUUUGGGGCUAGUGUUUCCAUAAGUGGAUGACAACGGCCUUGGUGAGCCCAAGUAUUGUCCAAAUUCCUUUAACCCCCUAUUUUUUCUGGUGUGGGGUGGUUUUAGUUGCCUACAAUGUGCAACCAUUGUAAGGACAAUAAGAAUGCCCACAAAGAGGGUAUGUGGUUGGGAUGGCUUACGGCUCCAGCUGAACUCUUCUCUCCUCGGCCUCAUUCAUGAAGGUGGUCUGCCCAUUCUAAUAAGGUAGUUUAGGCUCUGUCCAUAGAUUGGACCCCAUGGGGACCUUCUAUCACCAAGGUCGUUGAAUCCUUGCGCCUAGCUUCCUUAAGAUGAGGAUUGAGGCCAACAGGCCAGAACUCUUAGAGGGGAUGAGGAACACUGAAACUCACAUUAGUGGUCCUGGCAAGCGGGAUUCUUUCUAGGCUAACAAGGUAAAUCCCCAGCUAGUCUCUGUUCUAUGGGGAGGAAAAUGUCCCAUUGAUAGAGAGUAGUUUGGUAUAUGUGACCUUACAGUUUGCCCCCACCAUAAUAGCAAUCGCGGGUUUUAUAACUAUAUAAUUGUCACCAAGGAACUUGUCUUCGAGGCCCUUGAAUCAUAAUAAUUAGUGGCAUAAUUAUUAUGUGCAUGUCAUCAUUGUCUUGCUCAUGUGUGUGUGUGCGUGUGUGUAUGUGUGUGUAUAUAUAUAUAUAUAUAUAUAUAUAUAUAUAUAUAUAUAUAUAUAUAUCGUCUCGUCUACUACUAUACUAACGUACGUAGUAGUAAGACGUACUCUUCUCUACCUACGUACGUACUACUAACGUUAGUUANNNNNNNNNNNNNNNNNNNNNNNCUAAUAUAGACCCUAGUAUAAGGGAGCCAUUUCUCCUCUCCUAAAGGGCUCCAAAUCCUUGGUUAUAUUUCGCUUUGUCUUAAACGCUUCUUACUUUGUUCGCUUCUUGUUGUUUCUUUGGCCCUGUUUGUAGUUUCUUGCUCAGCUGCCUUACUUCUAAGGCAACAUUUUGAUACUAUGAAGUGGUUGUAGACUGUGCCAGGAGUCGUGAGAUAGUGGUAGUUAUCUAACGAACCUAUAAGCUAGUUGUUUGUUAUUAAUAAUGAAAUCCUUUUGUCCUCCUCUGGAAUGACUAAAGGGAAAGGACACAGGCCUCAGAAAGCAAAUAUUUCAGCAUAGUCAUUUCAAUACUUGAUCCAAAGGUGUCUCAGAAUGUAUUGAUCAUGUCCUCAUUGGUAAGGUUACUGUGCAUCUUUUCAUUAUGUUUUCCCUUAUGGGAGUUGUUUUGAUUAAAGAUAUCUUCUGAAGGAUGUGACACAUUUUCAACUAUAUCGUUUAUGACUUCAUUGAUAAAUAUUUGUGGAUACCAACUUAUAAGUGUCUUCACAAGAUCCCACUAUGAUAUGAGCUUUAGGUAUAUGUCAGUUUAGGAUCCUCAAAAUGCUUCAUCUAGAGGGACGAUGUCAUGUGCACCCAAGAGAAUAUAGCGACAUGCAGAAGGCCAAUGGAAGUUGUAAUAGGAUAUAAUAUGCUAAUAUCUACUUUUACUAGUCACAAAUGAUUGAAAAUCUUUCCAAAUCCCAUCAUAAGAUACAAUUGAGAAAAUAGAUAUAAGAGAAUGACAAAUGGAGCAGAAUCAUAGAAGAGAUUUCUAGGACUUUGAUCACCCAUUUGAAUUCUCUUAUGUCAUUUAGAUUGCAAUACUCAUCGAGAUAGCAAGGAUGGUUACAAUUACCCACAUACAGCGUUGGCCAUUGAGGAAGGAUGAGUCAUAAAAUGUGCUCAUAUACCCGAAUUUGCAAGAUCAACAUGCAAUUGGCAUGGUCCCAUGCUUCUGAAUAUUACUGGCCAAUCUAGUCUAGAGAUGCCCAUAAAUUCCUGGUAGAACCACAGGACUUGACAACCAGUCUUAAGGGGCAAGGUUUGGGUCUCUGGUUAAGUUCGUCAAGACGCCUAACUGAUGACCCUAUCUUGGUAGGUGAUUUGCUGCUUAACUUGGUUGGGCCAACCCUCGACGUAGGUUCAAGUUCAUUCAUACCCUUAUCUACCAGCCUUGAGAGCUUCACUGUUAGGGAUGCCCCAUCUUUGCGCAACAUCCUCAUUGUUGGUCAAUAAGAAAACUCAAGCCACUUGGACUCAAACUGAGAUCCAACUGGUGGCCUUCGCAGUUGCUCUCACAUUCAGCUGGCUACAUCCUUUUUUAUAGAUGACUUCAUCACUGAAACAUUCGUCAGUCUCUCAAAAAAAUUUCAUUCAUGGUGGACUGUAAUAAAAUGUUUGUCUUCACUCAUCUCUUAAGCCUGCAAUGGUAGCGCUCCAGAAUAAUAAGCAUAAAUAUGGUCAUACUUAUCCAAAAACCAAGUGGUUGAAUCCUUUCUCUCACGUAGUUGUUGCAAGAAUAUGGUUAAAUCUCCUUCAAACUGCUAAAAUAGAUAUAUUUUGACUAUAUUUGAAUCACUUUUGAAAUUAAAUUAAAAAAAAAAAUAUGUUUUUUUCCAGGUCUAAGCAUGAGAAAAUCUACAGAAUUGGUUAUUCCAAUGUAGGUUAAAGGUGUUAGCAUGUUUAGACAUGUCUUGCUUCAAUGGCUGCCUCUCUCUAUUGAGAAGUCCUUUAGCCAUGAAAUUUGGCAUCCAGAUAGGGGAUUCAAAGAGGAAUCCAAUGGUCUAAAUUUUAUCUCACUUGGGUCAUUAUUGAGAGAGAUAUAACUCGUCAAAGUUGAUGGUUUUUUGCUACAGAUCUGAGCAGCCAAUCAGUCAAUCGCAAGUCGAAUAGCUUUCACAACAGAAUUGACCGUAGAGCUUGGAUAUGAUGUAUGGGAGGUCAUGAGGAAUAUCUUCACCAAAUUUGGUGACAACACUCCGUAUUUUGAGAGAAAUGAGGGUUCGUCGGUCAAGAUUUGAGAUAGUUUGAGGCUUACUGUUAUGACCUCAAUGACUUUCACAUGGGGAAUCCUUAAGAGUGUUGCUCUGUUGUAGUUUAUAAGACUCUACUCUAAGUUAGGAAUGCAAUUAUUUUAAUCUUAUGAGAAACUCCUUAUAGAUUGGAAAACAUCUAAAUUUUAAUGAUCGGAGGUCAUCCUGGCUAUUGCAAGUGUGCCUGACACACGAUAAAUGUGAGUCUUAACUGUCGG
rnacentral:lncRNA from 1 species